rnacentral:lncRNA from 1 species
GAAGGUCAACCUAGAUGGAUUUUUCUUUGUCUUCGUAAAAUCUUGACCCGUGAUACUCAAUGAAGCCCAAAACUCUGUAAGUUUAUAUUUAAAUUGAGAAACAAGUAUCUAGCUGGAGUAAGGAAAAAAGGCUUUUUCAUAUACGAAUAUCUACAUUUUCCAUUGCGUGUUGCCUUUCCUCCCAUUCAUGACCAUAAAUUUCCACUGGAACAAGGAUAAAGGAUACAUUUGAGACAAGAACUAAAGGAUUAGAUUUGGGAUAUUACCCUCACUUGGUUAGAUUCUUGGCUUUAUAACUGGAAUUUUAGCCGCCAGCAUUUCUCUUGGAUGUGGCCAAGAGAAGAAGGGAUGGUGCUACAGAGAGAGAGAGGGAUUUUUUUUUAAUUUUUUUUGCCAGCUUCCUUCAGCUGAACUAGUAGAAAAUUAUCAACUAUACGUGCACCUCUAGAUUACAUAAUUAAAAAAAUAAAAAAAAAGGUUGAGAAAUUAAAUUGAACUGAAUAAUGGUACAACGUAAAGGAAAGGGUAAUAACAAUAAUUCUUACCUUAACAAAAUCAUAUUUGGAGAAGCUUUGCGAAUGGAGACUGGAAAGCUGCUGCUUUUUAUGUUUAAAAUCUUUGUCUUUUCUAGGCCUUGUCACUUUUUAAGUGUUGCCGCUGGAACAUUUUAUCGAAGAUCUUGCGCGCACGUUUGAAAGCUGCAUUUCCCUUUCUAUAAAAAUAAAACCUCACAUCCCAUUAUUUGCCGAAAGCUGAAUUUCCCUCCAUCCAAACAUAAAAUCCAUUAUCAAAUACACUUCUUCAUGCAACUAUUUUUCUUGAACCAUCAAACAAGAUGAAGAUUCAACGGACCUUCAAGAGGAUAGUGUCAUGCUGGUAAUCUGGUAUUAAAUCAUUUUCACUGCUGUUUAAGCAAUUUUUUUAUUACAGAUUGAGGUUUUUGGCGCACAUACGAGAAGAAAUUAUGUUCAAAUUAAGAAGAAAAGGUAGUGAAAUCAAUUCAUUAAUCCCCAUAUUAAAAUUUUUAAUAUGAGAUUAAACAAUAACUUUUAAUCACAUGUUUUUAUGCUACAUUUUAGGCGAUUUGGACUCUCAAUCUUGAAAAGUUAAAAAGAGUGUCUGAAGUUCAAAAAAAUUGUUUUAGACUAAUUUGAUUAAUUUUAUGAAAACUACCGGAUGUGAUUGCUAUAGACUCUUGUGUACAACAAGACACACAACCCUGUGCUGACAUUGUUUAAAGGCUGUACAAAUAGCUUUGCCAACUAACUUAAAAGAGUGGAUGGUCAACAGGUCAAGUACUAUUUAUUUUUGCACCCUCCAUUUCACAUUACUAAUUGGUUCCCACUAUUUACAAACCGGUUUGAUUAAUGUUCACUAUAUAGCUUCUAACCCUGCUUCAAUUUUUUGCAAAGAUCAUGUUACAUGAACAUUAAGAGCUACAUCGAAAGCUAUGUAAUGGACACGCGACACAUCGAUAUUGGUUGAGGCACCUGCCGCAACUCAAGCCCACAUGCGCCUCACCAAUCACGAGGCGCCAGAUGUUGAUUAUGUAACCCCUUAUGUUCAUCUAACAUUUUCCUUUUUUCAAUGCUUCUAUUUUUUUUUUUGUCCUUGUUUGUCAAUCAUUCUCUCACAUUUUCUCACUUACUUGUUUUUAAUCAUAUAUUUUUCAUUAAACUAAUAUUACAUAUGUAUCAAAAACUUUUUAUUUUUCUAACCACAUAUUUUAGCAUCAACUGCUAUUUCAUACUUCAAUUUUUUAAAUUGAAGGCACAAACAGGGCCUUUCUUCUCUGCAGCAAAAAGGAAAAGGCAAAAAGACCCUUGAACUUUUGGGCUGCAAUCUCCCCUUUCCGUUCCCCAAAAACACCUCCACCACCGUCGUCUUCGUCGGCCGUGCCACCUAAACACCACCAUCGGCUCUAUUUCUCUUUCUUCUACAUUACAACAAACAAAAGCAUAAAAUCCCUUGAACUUCCGUCUGCAAUCUCCCAUUUCCGUUCCCAAAAACACUUCCACCGCCGACAUCUUCAUCUACUGUGCCACCUAAACACCACCAUCGGCCCACCACUCAUUCAUCUACGAUUUCUUCCACGACGUCGUUUUACAACCCCAGCACGGCAUCCGCUACUACUCCUCCAAGUGAAGCUAAAGGAAAUGUCACCGUUACUGUACGAUUUCGGCUCCUCAGUUAAUGUAUUUCUUCUUUUCUUUAAAUUCGAUGACUCCUAGAUGUUGGUAGUAAGUGGGUUCCGCAAAUACGUAGGAUAGUUUCGUUAAUGGUGUUUGGAAGACUGAUUUUUUUGGUGUAUUUGUUGACUUGUUUGUUUUUGGGAUUCUUAGGUGAUGAUAUGAGGCAUAUUUUAGUUUUCAGUAUAAUCAAUUUUAGUAUUUCUUUUUUUCCAUGAAUUCUCUUUAUUAGGACUUCAGAAUUUGUUGCUACAUAGCUCGAGAUACAAGGACUUCAGAAUUGGUUGCUAUCAAAGUGAUAUCAUUAGCUGAAGGGGACCUAAUUAUAAUCCUUUUUUUUUAAUUGCAUAUAAUAAUACUACAUAAGUUUAGUGGAUGGAAUAUGAAGUUUGAAAUCUCAUAAUUAUAGGAUGGUUUUGAAGAAAUUCGUGGUGAAAUUGACCUAAUUAUAAUCCUUUUUUUUUAAUUGCAUAUAAUAAUACUACAUAAGUUUAGUGGAUGGAAUAUGAAGUUUGAAAUCUCAUAAUUAUAGGAUGGUUAUGAAGAAAUUCGUGGUGAAAUUGAGAUGUUGCAGCAAUGUAGUCACCCUAACAUUGUUUGCUAUCUAGGUAGCUACCAAGGAGAAGAAUAGCAUUGGGUAUGAAGAAGAUCAUCGGCCUUCAAUUAUAUAAUAAUUUUUUAUCUUUUUGGGAUGGUACCGAGACCAUGAUGCUGUGUACCCCCUCCUUUUGGUUUCUAAAUCAGAUGACAACUGUUAGUUAUUAACAUGAAUUUAAAUAUCUGAGAAUUUUGUAUUUGUUGGCAUAUUGUAAUGGAUUAUUUUGGGGGCAGGAGUGUUACUGACUUGAUGAAAGGCCUUAGCCUCUAGAGGAGUGUAAAAUAGCAAAUAUCUGCAGAGAGGCAUUGAAGGUACCAUCAUUUUGGUUAGUUAUAUUUCAAAAUCGAACUUUUUUAUCUUUAGUACAGAUUUGUAUAAAUGUGUCCUUAAAAAUGCUGGGAUUGUUAUUUGGUAAUAGGGAAUGAUUUUGUCCAUGAGAUAAUGCUUGACCAUCCAAGGUUAAAAUAUAUCAUGACUUGGCACGAAUGUUUUAUUUUAGAGUUUAAUAAUUACCACAUACUUUUCCAUACUAAUCUUCUUUUACUGAAAUGCAAAAGGUGAGAAUACCUGUUCCCAUGAUGUAUAAAAUAAGCUAAAUCAGUGGGUAAUUUGAGAAAAAAUUAUUAAGAAAAAAUUGUCAUUAACGUUGGGACAUGCCAAAAUUGACAAUAUGGACAUCUCCAAUAUAUUUCCUUCUGGCUGUUUCUUAUAUUUUGCUGAAACUAUAUCUAUAUUAUCUAAUGCAGGGUUUAUCAUACUUGCACUCAAUUUUCAAGGUACAUAGAGAUAUUAAAGGUAGUAAUGUGUUGUUGACAGAGUUAAAUAUUAUUUUACUAUCUAUGUUUACAAGAAGCUCUUGUUAAUACUUGUGCAGUUGGGUGGUUGAUUUACCUUAUGGUUCUUGAAAUCUUAGAAAGCUCUUUAAGUUGGAACCUGCUAUAUAUGCCAGUGCAAGGUAUUUUUAUUAUGUCCGUCUUCAUUUAUAUCUCAAUUGACAUUAUUUUUGCUUUGCUAUCUCUGUCAAAUUUGUAACCAGUAUCAUUCAGGCUUUUAAUUGCACUACUGUGAAUGUAGUCUGCUUACACAUUGAUCAUUCAGAUGAAAUAGAUAACAUGGUGAUAGAGAUAGGACAAAGACCUGGGUUCAUAUUUGCUGCCACCAAUUCAUGAAACUUUUGCAAGUGAUAUGCUGAUGAUAAAAUGAAUUCAUGGGGCUUUUGAAUAUCAAAUUUAAAUAAAUAAACGUGUCCACUUCAUGAAGGCCUAAGGUUUUGGAUCACAUGUUCACAUAAAUUUUAUUCAUUUGCAUUUUUGUUGUUAUACAUAGAAUUUAUCUGUCCUUAUUGGUUUAUCAAACAAUUUGUUUUACGUCAGAUAUAAUUGUGUGUAAUUUUCUUGUCCACUAAAAGGAUAAUUGGAAAAAUGAAAUGGAUAUUUAAAUAGUGGAGAAUACAAUGUUAUGGAUAUAUGAUUAUUUACAUUUCAAUCCUCAAUUACAGAGAUCAUGGGAAAGGGCAAAAAUGGCAUCAUCGUUGGAUGAAGUUGGUAGAGGUCCACUUCAUUUGCUCUAUUUAUGUUUAUUUAUAAAUCAAAAGAUAUCAACAGAAUUAUGUUGGAAGUUUUUGGUUUCUGUGGUUUCUAAUUGGGUGCUGAUUUAUUGAUAUAGUUGUGGCGAUGGAUGAUAAUAAGAUUGUAGAAUGCUAUAUAAGAUUUGGCAUGGAUGUGAUAUUGACAUCAGAAUCAUGUCGAAUUUGUAAAAUAAGUCCUUCAAUCUAUUGUGAAUCAUUGAAACUUUUGUUGGUUGGAUAUAUUGCUAACUUUUUGCUUUUGUAAAUUUUCUAGGCAUAAAGCAUUGUAAUAAAGUACAUCAAAAGCUUGGGAACAAGUACGAUAUUGUAUUCAGGUGGAUGAACCUCUUAGUGAACCUGAAAUAAUGGAUUGCAUGGUAAAGGCUCUUCAAGUAGUGUUUAUGCCAUUGUACUUCCUGGCUAAUGAAUUCAAUAGUACAACAAAUAACAAAAAAUGUAAAAGAUAGGGAUAGUAAAUGUUAAGCUCGUAUUUUAUUAUCUUUUCUCUCCAACAAGAUAGCAACCAUCUCCAAAAUGCGAUGCCCAAUUCCUACAAUGAGCAGUGGCGCACUACCAGUGUCUACUUGGUAUGUCAUUUAGGCCCACUCCAAACCAGUCUACAACUUGUGGUGCUCAUGCCUCGAGCUAUAUUAAAGCAUGUAGAUACCACUUAGGAGUUCAUAGUGGUCAACUGCACAUUAGUGUAUUUUUGUUGAAUUCCAAAGGUUAGUGUUCCAUAUGUACCUGGGUGUUAAGGAAGUCUUAUUGGUAGGUACGAACCAAUAAUAGAAUCCCCAGUGUGAACCAAUCCUUGGUCAUAUAAUUAUCGUCAGAUCACCCUUAGGGUGCCAUGAGUAUCAAGACUUGGAGUUGUUGGUCUAUCACCGUUUGGGCUAUUCUUAUGCGUCUCUCAUGGUACUUUUGAAUUGAAAUGAGAACUAAAUACUUUUUUUUUCUAAACAUUGUCUUCUCAUAAUCCGUGAGACUGGUUUGAGAAUUUGAAAGAGAAGCUCCGUAAAGCUAACUGUGGUUAUUUAUAUGGAAUUGAUAUAGGUCUAGAAAGGUAAAUCCUCAAUUUCUAUAGUUGCUUCAUUUAGGGAUUUAGGUAUCUAUUAAACAAUAGUGAAAUUGUUUUUGUACCAUAAUCAUGUAUUGAAAUAUAAACAUUCUAUUUUAAAGCCAUUUUUUCUCACUACAUGGAACCUCUUAUUGUAUAGAUGGUUUCCCCCGCCCCCCCGCCCCCCCCAAUAUUGUGCUGGAAUUUUUCAAUUUCCACUUUAUGUGUUCAAAAUUAGGCCUGUUUGAGUAGUAAUAGUGAAGUUCAAAUCUUGUGUAAAUUAUCACCUUCGAUUGUGAAACUUACUAAACUUAAGAUGUGUGUGUGUGUUUCAUUUGUAGGGUUCUUCAUUCUUAUUGUUAGCAUUAUACACUCCUCUGCAAAAGGUAAAUGCUUUUUAUUUUAUACAAUUGACUAAUCUUGCGAAAACUCCUGUGUGUUUUAUAGAAAAGAUUGGUUAAUAAAUUUUUGAAUAAAAUUUUAAAUCGUUAAAUUUCAUUUUGCCAUGCACAACAAGAAAAAUUAUGGCUACCUUGCAAAACACAAACUCGAUUAUUUGUUCUUAACCUCUUGCAGCCAAGUUAAGUUCGCAGAUGAGAAUAGGUAUUCGUACAUCCCAAGUACUACAAAAAUAACUUGCAUGAAAUUCACUUUUGGGAAAAUAGACCAAAAAUUUAAUGUGACACAUAAUGCCAGCUGAAAAGAGUAAUAGUUAUGACGAUUCUAUUCUGGAAUUGCUCCCGUGGUCAUCAACAAAAAGCUACUUAUAAUAUGCACACUUAAGGUGGUAUGGUAGUUAAUUUGGUUUCUAAACUACUGAAGAUAAUUUCUCUUUUCACUGCUCUGGCAGAGUAUGUUGUUGUGACUAACACUAGCGAACUAAUGAUAUGGUUGUAGUUUGUCUUGAAAGAAUUGGGUCACAACUAAGAAAUAUUUGUAUUAUAUUGUGACCGUUGGAGUGCUAUUUACUUAGCAAAUAAUCAUGUUUAAUUAUGCAAGGAUGAAGCAUAUAUAAGUUCACUAUCACUUCAUCAAAUCGAUUUUGGAGGAUGAAAUCUUGAUACUUGAGAAGAUUCUAUGAAUCGGCUACCGUGUUGACAAUGACUAUUCCAAUUGAGAAACUAAAGUUGCACACAACUUUAGUUUAAUUUCUUUCUUGAGGAUUGAAGAGUUAUUGCAACUGUAGAGGAGGCAUUGAUAUUGGAUUAGUCUCUAGUGAAAGAAUAUUAAGUUAUGGAGCCUAAUUAUUAUUAGGAAUUUGACAUUUGUACUUUCAAAUUUUCUAAUUUUCUCUUAUAAAUAAAGAGCCAUCAAUAGAGUUUAAAUAUCAUUAUCAGAAGAGAAAUAUAUGUUAGAGAAAAAUGGUGAGUGAGAUCCAUUUUUCUCUUGUAAACUUAUUUACAUCAUAAUAAAUUUUUGCGCAGUGGUAAAGGAUGUAAUAUCACAUUGAUGCGAACUUACAAAUUUUGCAUUUUCUUGUAUGUCCAUUCUCUUUCUACGAUUAUGUAAAUAUCAAUGUUAUAGAAUUAGAUUUUCUAAUUUUAGCACAAUCAAUGCCCAAAAUGAGAGGUGUGGCCUUAGUCCAAUAACACUCAUACGAAUGGUUAAGGAAUUCUAGAACUAGGUGGAUAUUGCAAAUGGAUUAAAAUAUUUCCAUUUUUUAUUUAUUUAUACAUUUUUUUAAUAUUAUUCAUUAUUAAUACAACUAAACAUAAAAUACAUAAGCAAAAUAAAAAUAUAUUCAGUGUGGGAUGGAGUAUUUAGCCAUUGUUUCACUCAAAAGAAGAUGUUAUGAGCUUCCAAAUGCUCCAGCAAAAAAACAUGCUCUUUAUUCCAAUAGACCGUGUAUACUUAACUCUCACUCUUUAUCCAUUCGUAGAGCAAAACUGGGAUAAAGCAUAGAAGUUGUCCAACAAAAAUAAAUUGCUAGUAACUUAUAAAGAUGUCAAAUGUCAAGUUGUCAAAUCGCUAGGGACGGCAGUGACUUCUUUUCCAACAUCAAAUCACAGGGAUUUGUUAAGAAUUUCAGGGUACAAAAAGUCGCAUUGACAAUAUGAAUAAUGUUCUUAGUCGUAAUAUGUCUUAAAUGGAAUCCAACAUAAAUUUUGUUUCCUAGUACAAUAACUCUCUCUGAAAACAUAUAUAUAAUAAGAUAGUUCGAAUUCUUCUUGACAUUUCAAUGUCUUGAAGUUAAGAACAUGAAUAUGAUAAUCCAAAAGAAAUAUCUAAUUUGACCACAUUUCAAUGUCUUGAAGUUGCAACAUGGAUGUUCAGAGACAAAUUGUGAAAUGCUUGGUUGACAAGAUAAGAAUUUAUCAAAAACAUAAGCUAAACUUUAUUCUCAAUGAACAUGUAGCUACCUAUAUGUAUCCUUCUUCUUUCAUACUGUUCAAUGCAUUUAGGGUUUUAGAUUUAGUAAUAUAGCAGUACGUUUACUGUUAUGUCUAAUGAAAUCAAAUCUUUUGCAAGGUAUGAUAAAUUCUGUGCUAUUGAUGUUGCAAGAUUUUAAGCAAAAUUGGUGGUCUCUGCAUAAUCUGAGACCAUAAUUAGAACCAAACUUACUCAUAAUUGGAUUAAUUAUGCAUCCCAAGCUCUUAUCCAACAUUUUCCUCUCAUCCAAAUGUGGUCGUGUGUAUGAAUGUUGAUCAGCUGGUGUAUGCAAAUUAAUAUUACUGAACUUUAAACAGAUCUUGAGAUAUAAACAUUUGUGGGCACUGCCAUAAAGUACUAUCACUACCUUCCUUAUACACGAAUGAAGGAUGCACUAGGAUGUUUGAAAUAUCUGUCUCGAUAUUCAUAAUUUGGUGAAUAAUCGUCUAAGAAAAGUUAAUGGGAAUAUCAAAAUCACAUAUUUAGUCAAACAUUAAAUUCUUUGUGUACGACCUCCUUUGCCAGAAAAAAUAAAAAUAAAAAAGAGACUAAAGUUAAUGAAUAGUAGAGGCGUCAACAAGGACAAAGGAUUAAGUUUUUCUUAGUUCACCCUCAUUCUGAAGUCGUGAGAACUUAUGAGUAAUGCUAGAUUCUCUCACACAUUGGUCAUUAACCUAAAAUACAUAAAUCCUUCAUUUUAAAAAUACUGCAUGAAUGUUGAAUAUGUUAUAACUUACAAGUACAAUCAAGUUUUAUAUGAAACAUGAAAUACAACAGAAAACUAAAAUUCACUAAGUUGAAAGGGAAUUCUUUGUUCUGAAAAAAUGAAAAUCAGUUCAAUUCCAAUUCAUAUUAGUAGACAGCAUCUUGUUUCCCAACAAAAUGAAGCCAAAACCUGAGUGGUAAGUAUAAAUUUUCACUUUUAUGUCUUUAUAAUUUCACAUGUUAAGAUGUGAAUAACUUAGAUUAUUAAAAAAAAAUAUUGGUAUAAAUUUAUAACGUUGACCUUAUCUGAUAUGAGCACUAGCCUUAUAUAAGCCUACCUAUUAUGGCUCAUUUUUGGCUUCGAUUUCAAUUUAUUCUUUAGUCUAAAAUUCAGUGUGGCCUAAGAUUAUAUUAAGCUCAGUUUGAAUUGGUUUGAUUCACUAUCAUAAUUGGACAUUGGAAGGGUUGUUGCAUCUUAGUGUCAUUCUCUGUGUUCAUUUUUCUUGUUUCUAUUUGAUUGACAGCGUUAUCAUGCAUACUUUAUGUAUGAGGUUGAUUCGUGGAGCAUCAUGUGUACAGGUUUGGUUCUUCUUCUUAACUCUAUAUUUCCAUUUUCUUGAUAGGUGAGUUUUGUAGUCCAUGUAAUGCAUACUGGGAAUAAUGUUAUGAGUUCACUGUUCAAAUGGAUUUUGUUUGUGACUAUUUUUAUCGACAGCAUUGCCCUGAAAAUCAUUUUUAUUUUAUUUUAAUUUACUUCAACUGUCGCGGUAAUUUCUGAUCACUAUAUGCUUAGCCACUGUAGUUUAAUUAAGUUUACUUAUAAUUUUUGUAGCAUAAACUGUUUCUUUAUAUGUAUUCUCAUACUAUUCAUGCAAUUUAACCCUCCCAGUUGACAUUCCCCAAAUAAAUCUAUGGAAAAUAAGCAAAGAAAGAUAUUGAAUAACCAAUUAAUUCUGUUGGCAUGGGUACAAAUUCUUAUUCUUGUCGUUAAAAGAUUAAGGUUGCUUUGCAUUAUAUGCUUCCCUAUAUUUACUUCAGAAUUCAAACAAAGCAAUGUCAAGGUCUUGUAACGAUCACAUUUUUUCUUGGUGGUUUGGGAGGAAAGAAGAUCUUGUGAAAUAUUUUUAGGUGUUUGCCUACCUACUGAUUAUGAUUGUCUUGGAUUUCCUUGUCAAGGACUAAGAAUUUGGUGGAUGUUGAGAAAAAUCUAUGGUGCUAAUUUAUAAAUCAACAAAGUUUUGAAUGUUGCCCCAAUAACAGAAGGGGCGUGCUACAAGAACAGGGGGCUGACCGCCCCCUGACCGAACCCCACAAAUAGGGGGGAGUGCCCACGUUUUUUUGCUGGCCCCACCCCCAUUUGAGGGGCUCCUGUCAGGGAGGCGGUCAGCUUCCCUGUUACAGGAGCAUUUUCCAUAGCAGAAAAUCUUUUAAGUAUUGACAUGUCUUAUUCUUUAAUUUUAAAAUCAUGGCUUACCAAGCUAAUCUUAUCUAGUACUUCAUUGCUAAUUCGAAGCCUAUCACAGAGGGGGUUACCAUUUUGGUGUGCUUCAUGGUAAUCACUGGAUUACUGCACAAUUCAAAGUACCAUUGGAGAUUAUUUUAGUAUUCUUGCUUCUCUAGCAUGCUCUUAGUAGUCUUCUGGUUACACCUUAUGCUGAGGUAAUCGGUCAUUUAAACACAAUUCAUAUUCAAAUUAUCACAGCUUAUAUUAACAAUCAGAAUAAGAUUUAGUAGUACGAGAUGAAAAUUUACAGAAAUUACUUCAAGUGAAGAAUUGAUCAUAUUACAUUUUUAAUUUGCCUUUUUGCUUCCAAACACGAGUUCAUUCUUAUUUUUCUUUCUAUGCUAACCUCACCCGUUUAAUUCUCUAAUUCAAUAGCUUCCAUCAAUUAGCAAGAACACAUUCCAUUAAAUACCUUAUUAUUUGAGAUACAGGUUUCACACCAGUUCAGGAAAAGCAAUCAAGUGACGGAUUUAUUAACAAAAAUGGGUGCACAAGGGGUAAUGCAGAGAUUUACAUCUUGUGGUGACUUGUUCGGUUGGACCGCAUUGGAGUUCCCUACUUACGUAAGUGAGUUGAUUGGUCUAGAAAAUUUUUAAAUUCGCUAUUUGUAAGGCUAUUUUGUCAUCACGGUAUUCCUCAGCCAUAAGUGAGGAUUGUUUUCAAUAAAAUUAUUGGUUGACUUUAAAAAAAAAAAAAUUCUCAUUAUUUAUUUCCACUCUGAUUGAGUUUACACCCAUCCUACAGAUAGGCAAAGUUUAAGUGGGAUAUCUCAUGGCUUCCGUUUGGGACACUAAGGUAAACCAUGUUUGAACUCUGUUUCAACAUAUAGUUACUAACACAGGUUAUAAUAGAUUUAUUGAGGUAAGCAUUGAUUCUAAAAUAGUAGUGCAUCUGGGAUCUGCCUUUAUGUGAAUCAUGUACUCAAAGAGUCUUCUGAAGUGGGGCAAAAUUUACAACUACAAUCAAAGAGAACUUAAUUCAGAAAUUUGAUCUCAUCAAUCAAUACUCUAAGCCUCGUUUUAACUGCUAAACAUGCAUUGAAAAUAUUGAUGUUAAUGUAGUUUUAUAUUCAAAAAUAAAGAAUAAAUAUGCAUGUAUGACAUAUCUUGCUUGAAGUCUGCUUACAUUAUGGUUUUAAUAUGUAUGCAUUUAAUUCCUCUCGAAAAGGUUACAUCAAUUUUUAACUUAUUGGUUUAGGGUUCAAAAAAUAUAGUGGUUUAGAUAAAUUCAUCUGAAUCAGAUUAAUCUUUUUGCUUUGAUGUUUAAUGGUGAUUUGCUCAUUGUGUUUUAGAUAGUAGAUCAUUGAUACCUAGAAAGGAGCAGGCCCAGCUUUUGAGAGGGGUUACAACUCUGGUACCCGGGUUUCAUAUGGUUUAUAUAGAUAUUCCUUUAAAUAAUAGAGGUUGUUUCGUGUAAGUUUGGGAAGAAAUAUUCUGAUUUGAAUGCAUCAAUGGGAUUCCAUGGUCAAUAUGCUUCGCCAAUUCUUAUGUAAUUUUGACUUUUCUUUUAAUCUUUACAUUCUUUGACAGAU